rnacentral:lncRNA from 1 species
AUGAGUGAUUUUAUAGGCACCCCACUUACAGAUUUGAAUGUAACUGAAAUAAAAAAUGAAUUUUUAAAAAAAAAAAGAAAACAUUACGAUGAUUAUGAUUUUUACAUUUAUUACAAAAAUUUGUUAUUUCAUGAAAAGAAAAAAAAAAUAAUAGAAAAAAAAAAAAGAAAAAAAAAAAUAAUUGAGGAAGCACCAAAAUUUAAACCUUGUAAUUAUAUAUCGAGUAUUUAUAAAAAUGAAAAUGUAAUUAAAAAAGAUUUAUAUGAUUAUAUUGAUGAAGAUGAUAAUAUAUAUGAAGAUAUAAGUACAAAGAAUAUAGUAAGAUAUGAAGAAGAUUAUACGGAUAAUAAUAACAUUAGUUUUACUUUUUUUAAUGAUAGUAUAUCUUAUGCAUUGUUAAGAAAACACAAUUAUAUUGAUGGGGUUCCUAUAGGUGUUAAUGUUAAUAUAAAGAAAGAAAUAGAGACACAUAUACUGAACAAUAUUAAUAACAACAACAGUUACAGUUACAACAGUUAUAAUAGAUAUAAUGUUUCAAAAAAAGGAAACACAUGCUCCUCUCCUAUGACAACACCUUUAUCUUCAAAUUCAAAUCUUAACUCUAUAAGUUAUACACAAGAGUACAAUGAAAAAGUGGAAAAAAAAAAUUAUUUUUCGAAAUUAGAACUACCGUUACAAGAAGUAACUAAUAGAGAACAGGUACAAGUAAAACAUGAAGCAUAUACAGUUGAAAAGGGUGUACAUAUGUAUAAAAAUGAAAAGGACACAGAACAGACACCUAUUGAAAAUACAUAUGUGGUAGGACAUAAACAAAAAAUAAGUUCUCAAAUUUCAGAAAAUGUUGAAGAAAUAAAAAAAAAUAUUAUAAAAAAUACAGGUCACAAUAAUAAUGAUAAUAAUAAACAAUAUUGUGAGAAUGAAAACAUAAAUAUGUUAUUAUAUCGCAAUUAUAUGAUUACAGUUAAAAUAAAAGAACAAAAAGAAUUAGAAGAACGAAUUAAAAAAAGAUAUAUACCUAAAAUUAAUUUCGAUGGAGCGUUUUUUAUAAAUAAUAAAAAUAAUAUUGAACAUAUAAAAAAAAAAGAAUUAAAUUUAUUUAAAAAACAAACUGUUUCACAUUAUGUAAAUAAUAUUUCAGAUGAAGAAUAUUUAUAUAAUGUAGAUAAAAAUAAAAUAUGUAAUAAAUAUAUAUAUGACAAAAAUACUUAUGAAUGUAAUUACUUAGACUCUUCUUUUGAAAAUGUUUAUGAUGCUGUGGGGGAGGGUCUAUUGUACGAAGAUUUACCACUCAAAGGUGAGGAGGUUAAGAUGGUAGACAUGGAUUGUGCUCACACAAGUGUAAAAAAUGGUAGGAAUCAUAGAAGCAGCAAUAGUAGCAGCAAUAGUAGCAGCAAUAGUAGCAGCAAUAGUAGUAGCAGUAGCGAUAGUAACAACGGUAGCAACAGUAAUAGUAGAAGCAGCAACAGUAACAGUAACAGCAGAAGCAACAGCAGCAGAAACAGUAGAACCAACAGCAGUAGAAACAGCAACAGCAGUAGAAACAGCAAUAGCAACAACAACAACAGCAAUAGCAACAACAACAACAGCAACAACAACAACAACAACAACAACAGAAACCAAUCUCUACCCAAACAAAGACGAAAAAAAAAACCCUUCGUCUUUUGCAACAUGACUCAUUUUUACAAAAAGGAAAUAUACAUUUUAUCCUGUUUUUAUCAUUUUUUUUUUAAAAAUGGAGAAAAAAAAACAAAAACUAUUGGUUUAAACAAUUCAGAUGAAUUAAAAAAUUUAUAUUCAUGUUACUGUAAAUUAAUUAAUUUGAAU